rnacentral:rRNA from 1 species
CCUACGGGGGGCAGCAGGGGGGAAUAUUGGACAAUGGGGGGAACCCUGAUCCAGCCAUGCCGCGUGUGUGAAGAAGGCCCUCGGGUUGUAAAGCACUUUCAGUGAGGAAGAACGCCUGGUGGUUAAUACCCAUCAGGAAAGACAUCACUCACAGAAGAAGCACCGGCUAACUCCGUGCCAGCAGCCGCGGUAAUACGGAGGGUGCGAGCGUUAAUCGGAAUUACUGGGCGUAAAGCGCGCGUAGGUGGCUUGAUAAGCCGGUUGUGAAAGCCCCGGGCUCAACCUGGGAACGGCAUCCGGAACUGUCAAGCUAGAGUGCAGGAGAGGAAGGUAGAAUUCCCGGUGUAGCGGUGAAAUGCGUAGAGAUCGGGAGGAAUACCAGUGGCGAAGGCGGCCUUCUGGACUGACACUGACACUGAGGUGCGAAAGCGUGGGUAGCAAACAGGAUUAGAUACCCUUGUAGUC